UCAAGCUAAUAAGGGCUAACGGUGGAUACCUAGGCACACGGAAGCGAAGAAGGACGUAGUUACCGACGAAACGCUUCGGGGAGCGGGAAGCAAGCAUUGAUCCGAAGAUAUCCGAAUGGGGCAACCCUAAACACGACCACCUGAAUACAUAGGGUGGAGCGAGCAAACCUGGUGAACUGAAACAUCUUAGUAGCCAGAGGAAAAGAAAGCAACAGCGAUUCCCCCAGUAGCGGCGAGCGAAAAGGGAACAGCCUAAACCAAGUUCUGCGGAACUUGGGGUCGUGGGACAGUGACAAAAGACUGGGAAAUUUAGACGAAGCGGCUGAAAACCGCACCAGAGAAGGUGAAAGUCCUGUAGUCGAAAAAGGAACCAGCUUAACUGCAUCCCGAGUAGCAUGGGGCACGUGAAAUCCCGUGUGAAUCUGCCUCGACCACGAGGUAAGGCUAAAUAUUCCCGUGUGACCGAUAGAGAAACAGUACCGCGAGGGAAAGGUGAAAAGAACCCCGGAAGGGGAGUGAAAUAGAACAUGAAACCGUUAGCCUACAAGCAAUGGGAGGACGAUUGAACGUCUGACCGUGUGCCUGUUGAAGAAUGAGCCGGCGACUUACAGGUUAUGGCAGGUGAAGGGGGAAGACCCCACAGCCCCAGCGAAAGCGAGUCUGAAUAGGGCGAAACGUCAUAAUUUGUAGACCCGAACCCGGGUGAUCUAACCAUGGCCAGGAUGAAGCUUGGGUAAAACCAAGUGGAGGUCCGAACCGACUAAUGUUGAAAAAUUAGCGGAUGAGCUGUGGUUAGGGGUGAAAUGCCAAUCGAACUCGGAGCUAGCUGGUUCUCCCCGAAAUGUGUUGAGGCGCAGCGGUAGUGGAAGUUUAGUCGGGGUAAAGCACUGUUUCGCCGCGGGCUGGGAGACCGGUACCAAGGCGAGGCAAACUCUGAAUACGGCUAAAAAAACUACCAGUGAGACGGUGGGGGAUAAGCUUCAUCGUCAAGAGGGAAACAGCCCAGACCACCAGCUAAGGUCCCCAAAUGAUAACUAAGUGAGAAAGGAGGUGGGAGUGCAUGGACAACCAGGAGGUUUGCCUAGAAGCAGCAAUCCUUAAAAGAGUGCGUAAUAGCUCACUGGUCAAGCGCUCCUGCGCCGAAAAUGAACGGGGCUAAGUUAUCUACCGAAGCUGUGGACUACAUUGUAGUGGUAGGGGAGCGUUCUAUAGGGGGUGAAGCAGUAGCGGCAAGCAGCUGUGGACUCUAUAGAAGUGAGAAUGUCGGCUUAAGUAGCGAAAAUGUGGGUGAGAAUCCCACACCCCGAAACCCCAAGGUUUCCUCCGCAAGGCUCGUCCGCGGAGGGUCAGUCAGGACCUAAGGCGAGGCUGAAAAGCGUAGUCGAUGGACAACGGGUUAACAUUCCCGUACCGAUUAAUGAUUGUGCCGGAGAACGGAGAAGGUCAACGUCAGCUGGAUGUUGGUUACCAGUGCAAGCAGUCGAGGCGAUGAGAGGUGGUGAAAACACCUGGAGCUAAGACGCGAGUCCCACCUCCCACGGGAGGGAAGUGGCGCUGAUCAAGCUUCCUAGAAAAGCCCGAACCACGUUAAUCAUUAAUUGCCUGUACCCGAAACCGACACAGGUGGGGAAGUAGAGAAUACUAAGGGGCGCGAGAUAACUCUCUCUAAGGAACUCGGCAAAAUGACCCCGUAACUUCGGGAGAAGGGGUACCCUCGCAAGAGGGUCGCAGUGAAUAGGCCCAGGCGACUGUUUACCAAAAACACAGGUCUCCGCCAAGUCGUAAGACGCAGUAUGGAGGCUGACGCCUGCCCAGUGCCGGAAGGUUAAGGAAGUUGGUCAGGAGUAAUCUGAAGCUGACAACCGAAGCCCCGGUGAACGGCGGCCGUAACUAUAACGGUCCUAAGGUAGCGAAAUUCCUUGUCGGGUAAGUUCCGACCCGCACGAAAGGCGUAACGAUCUGGGCACUGUCUCGGAGAGAGACUCGGCGAAAUAGGAUUGUCUGUGAAGAUACGGACUACCUGCACCUGGACAGAAAGACCCUAUGAAGCUUUACUGUAGCCUGGAAUUGGCUUCGGGCUUCGCUUGCGCAGGAUAGGUGGGAAGCUUUGAAACUCUCCUCGUGGGGAGAGUGGAGCUAACGGUGAGAUACCACUCUGGCGAGGCUAGAAUUCUAACCCUGACCCCUAAUCGGGGCGGGAGACAGUUUCAGGUGGGCAGUUUGACUGGGGCGGUCGCCUCCUAAAAGGUAACGGAGGCGCGCAAAGGUUCCCUCGGUCCCGUUGGAAAUGGGACGAUAGAGUGCAAAAGCAGAAGGGAGCUUGACUGUGAGACCCACAAGUCGAACAGGGACGAAAGUCGGCUUUAGUGAUCCGACGGCACCGCGUGGAAGGGCCGUCGCUCAACGGAUAAAAGUUACUCUAGGGAUAACAGGCUGAUCUCCCCCAAGAGUUCACAUCGACGGGGAGGUUUGGCACCUCGAUGUCGGCUCAUCGCAACCUGGGGCUGAAGUCGGUCCCAAGGGUUGGGCUGUUCGCCCAUUAAAGCGGUACGUGAGCUGGGUUCAGAACGUCGUGAGACAGUUCGGUCCAUAUCCGGUGUAGGCGUAAGAGCAUUGCGAGGAGCCUUCCUUAGUACGAGAGGACCGGGAAGGACGCACCGCUGGUGUACCUGUUAUCGUGCCAACGGUAAACGCAGGGUAGCCAUGUGCGGAGCGGAUAACCGCUGAAAGCAUCUAAGUGGGAAGCCCACCUCCAGAUGAUUGCUCUCAUGGCAUUAAGCCAGUAAGGUCUCGGGUAGACUACCCGUUGAUAGGCUCUAGAUGGAAGCUCGGUAACGAGUGCAGUCGAGGAGUACUAACCGACCGAGGGCUUGACCU
rnacentral:rRNA from 1 species